rnacentral:rRNA from 1 species
GAUGAACGCUGGCGGCGUGCCUAAUACAUGCAAGUCGAGCGAACGGACGAGAAGCUUGCUUCUCUGAUGUUAGCGGCGGACGGGUGAGUAACACGUGGAUAACCUACCUAUAAGACUGGGAUAACUUCGGGAAACCGUAGCUAAUACCGGAUAAUAUUUUGAACCGCAUGGUUCAAAAGUGAAAUACGGUCUUGCUGUCACUUAUAGAUGGAUCCGCGCUGCAUUAGCUAGUUGGUAAGGUAACGGCUUACCAAGGCAACGAUGCAUAGCCGACCUGAGAGGGUGAUCGGCCACACUGGAACUGAGACACGGUCCAGACUCCUACGGGAGGCAGCAGUAGGGAAUCUUCCGCAAUGGGCGAAAGCCUGACGGAGCAACGACGCGUGAGUGAUGAAGGUCUUCGGAUCGUAAAACUCUGUUAUUAGGGAAGAACAUAUGUGUAAGUAACUGUGCACAUCUUGACGGUACCUAAUCAGAAAGCCACGGCUAACUACGUG